GACGAACGCUGGCGGCGUGCUUAACACAUGCAAGUCGAACGAUGAAGCCUAGCUUGCUAGGUGGAUUAGUGGCGAACGGGUGAGUAAUACGUGAGUAACCUACCUUUAACUCUGGGAUAAGCCUGGGAAACUGGGUCUAAUACCGGAUACGACCAAUCUCCGCAUGGGGUGUUGGUGGAAAGCGUUAUGUAGUGGUUAUAGAUGGGCUCACGGCCUAUCAGCUUGUUGGUGAGGUAACGGCUCACCAAGGCGACGACGGGUAGCCGGCCUGAGAGGGUGGCCGGCCACACUGGGACUGAGACACGGCCCAGACUCCUACGGGAGGCAGCAGUGGGGAAUAUUGCACAAUGGGCGCAAGCCUGAUGCAGCGACGCCGCGUGAGGGAUGACGGCCUUCGGGUUGUAAACCUCUGUUAGCAGGGAAGAAGAGAGAUUGACGGUACCUGCAGAGAAAGCGCCGGCUAACUACGUGCCAGCAGCCGCGGUAAUACGUAGGGCGCGAGCGUUGUCCGGAAUUAUUGGGCGUAAAGAGCUUGUAGGCGGUUUGUCGCGUCUGCUGUGAAGGCCGGAGCUUAACUCCGUGUAUUGCAGUGGGUACGGGCAGACUAGAGUGCAGUAGGGGAGACUGGAAUUCCUGGUGUAGCGGUGGAAUGCGCAGAUAUCAGGAGGAACACCGAUGGCGAAGGCAGGUCUCUGGGCUGUAACUGACGCUGAGAAGCGAAAGCAUGGGGAGCGAACAGGAUUAGAUACCCUGGUAGUCCAUGCCGUAAACGUUGGGCACUAGGUGUGGGGAACAUUCCACGUUUUCCGCGCCGUAGCUAACGCAUUAAGUGCCCCGCCUGGGGAGUACGGCCGCAAGGCUAAAACUCAAAGAAAUUGACGGGGGCCCGCACAAGCGGCGGAGCAUGCGGAUUAAUUCGAUGCAACGCGAAGAACCUUACCAAGGCUUGACAUAUACUGGACCGCAUCAGAGAUGGUGUUUCCCUUCGGGGCUGGUAUACAGGUGGUGCAUGGUUGUCGUCAGCUCGUGUCGUGAGAUGUUGGGUUAAGUCCCGCAACGAGCGCAACCCUCGUUCUAUGUUGCCAGCACGUUAUGGUGGGGACUCAUAGGAGACUGCCGGGGUCAACUCGGAGGAAGGUGGGGAUGACGUCAAAUCAUCAUGCCCCUUAUGUCUUGGGCUUCACGCAUGCUACAAUGGCCGGUACAGAGGGUUGCGAUACUGUGAGGUGGAGCUAAUCCCUAAAGGCCGGUCUCAGUUCGGAUUGGGGUCUGCAACUCGACCCCAUGAAGUCGGAGUCGCUAGUAAUCGCAGAUCAGCAACGCUGCGGUGAAUACGUUCCCGGGCCU
rnacentral:rRNA from 1 species